CUCCCAGAGCCAGCUGUAUUUCCCCCAGUCCCCACUUCACUUACCCCACACACUUCUUCAAGUUUGCCUGUUCCUGGAUUUAUGGAGAGACUUAAUAACGUAACUGAGAAAAAACCCUAGAAGCUUUUCUUCAGUGUGCUUCCUUUCUAGGAUUUGGAAAGGAAAAAGGAAGUUUAACUUUUUGCAGGCUGCCUGGCACGUGUGGCUUCACAGACAGGGAUUUUGGUCCAGCUGGAUUCUCCUUCCUGAGUGAGCCAGCACCAGCCUUAUGUGCUGUUUACUGACAGUCAACCCAAAAACUGGAGUUCCAAGUGACAUCUCCUCUCCAUCAACACCACCAUGUGAUAGCUAAGCCAGUCAGAAGCCCAUAAUGUUCUAAAUAGUAACCUGCAUGGAGGAAAAGCAAACUCACCCAGUCCAGGACAAGGGUGGCUUUGAUCCCACAAGCAGGCACAUGAAAAUCCUCAUUUCCAUAGAAAAAUUAUUUAGAUAUCUUUAAAAAAUUUCAAAAAUCUUUUUAGAUUCCAAUCAGUGCUUCAAAUGUAAUUUAAGGAAACAGACUGGUAUUUAUGUGGAUAGGUUUGGGGGGAGGUUUAGGAAAUUUGUCUCAGUGUGUCUGUCCUGUUCACUCUGUGACCACACAAGUGACAAUAAACCUCUUUGAAGCACUGAGAUGAUGUGUCAGCAAUGGCAAGCCAAGUCCUACAACAGCUUCCAGCUGAUGAUGUGUUGCACAUUUCCACAGCAGAAUUCAGCUCAAAUGAAUGCAUUACUUAGGUGAAUAUGAGACUGUUUCACAAGUAAGAAUGCAAAUGUUCCAGCCAGUACUGGAGUUACCUUCCCACUCUCCUUUCCUUUGUGGCAAAGAUUUUUUCUGACAGGAGCAUUUUCUGAAACAAUUACUUUGCCCCUCCACCUGGUAUCAGCAAAGACUCAUUUCAGCUUGUUUUCUUGUUCUCACUUUUUAAUAUGCUUCUCCUCCUUGUCAUUGCUUUGAUCUUUUGUUGUCACUUUCUUCUUCCAAAGCUGUAAACAUCUAUGUGAAGGAUGCACGGUGGGAUUGAACAGCAGGCACCAAGGCUCUGAAACACCAGCCAUCCUUUCUGGAGGCUAUUUUCCCAAUAUCUCUCCUGUGAGUUGAAGAUACACAUAUCUCUUCUUUCUCCAGGUACACUGCUGGCAAAUAUUUCAAACAGGCCAUACCCUUCAAAUCCUUUUGUUCUAAAAUUUGAAAAGUUAUUUCACGGGCCACUUAAUAAAAAAUACUUUUAGUUGAUUGGAUUUUAAUGAGAGAAAAGGGCAUUAGAAACUUUGUGCCUAGGGGUGCUAUAGAAAAAUAAAUGACUGGUAGAAGCUAUAUUUUCUCUCUUGAUGGGUGGGUAGUGUAAACACAAUGAGAAAUGCAAAGACUUCAGGAGCUCGAAUGGAUUCAGCAUUACUAUGCAAGCAUCUGACAGUAUCUGAUAUAGAGCACUGUGUAACUGAACCAUCUUCCAGCCCUGCAACAUACUAAGCAAGGUAUGAAAAUGCCUGAAUGACACCUAAGUGUCACUGACAUACCAUUUAUACUAUUUCUGAAGAGUAGAAUUGCAGGAACUAUUGCUAAAGAUGCCUUGAAUGGCUGCUCCCCAGCCCUCAGUACUGCCACAUUUUGGACUCUUUUCUCAGAAAGCCCACUUGCAGGUGACAGAACUCAGACAGAACAAUCUGGUUUUGAUUUUUGCUGAAGAAGAAAUUGCUGGAUGAUGGUGAUCUGGAAAAGAUAGGUUAGCUUUCUGGUGCCUUUUGGUACAUUCCUUUCUAUCCUCUACAGCUGCUCCUGCAAAAUGAAUGGCACAGCUCUCCAGUGGCACUACAAGAUCCCUAUGAGUGUCCUGGACACCCUGAAGUAUCUCUUCUUUUGUG